UCCGUGGAUUGAAGGGAGAAGGGCGUCGUCGCGCCUGUGAAGAACCAGUGCCAGUGCGGGAGCUGCUGGGUGCUCUCAACGGUCGCCGCGGUGGAGGGCGUCAACAAGAUCGUCACCGGCGACCUCGUGAGGCUGUCGGAACAGGAGCUCGUAGACUGCUCGCGCAACACCCAGAACAGUGGGUGCAACGGCGGCAUCAUGGACGACGCCUGCGCCUUCAUCGCCCAGAAAGGCGGCAUCGACACCGAGGAGGACUACCCUUACACCGCCAAGGAGGGCAAAUGCAACCUCGCCAAGAAGGCCCGCAAGGUCGUCUCCAUCGAUGGCUUUGAGGACGUGCCCGCAGACGACAAGGCGCCGCUGAUGAAGGCCGUGGCGCACCAGCUGGUGAGCGUGGCCGCGUCGCCAUCGAGGCCGGCGGGCGCGAGUUCCAGCUCUACGAGUCCAGGGUCUUCACGGGACGGUGCGGCACGGAGCUGGACCACGCCGCGCUCGCGCGGUGGGCUACAGGUCGGAGGCGGACGGUGGCAGUACUUAGAACUAUGUUUUUAG
rnacentral:rRNA from 1 species